rnacentral:rRNA from 1 species
CGCGUAGGUGGGAGCAUAAGUGGUUGGUGAAAGACCUGGGCUUAACCGAGGGAUUGCCAAUCAGACUGUGUUUCUUGAGUAGGGUAGAGGAUAGUGGAAUUUCCGGUGUAGCGGUGAAAUGCGUAGAGAUCGGAAGGAACACCCGUGGCGAAGGCGGCUAUCUGGACUCAUACUGACACUGAGGCGCGAAAGCGUGGGUAGCGAACA